CCUACGGGAGGCAGCAGUGGGGAAUCUUGCGCAAUGGGCGAAAGCCUGACGCAGCAACGCCGCGUGCGGGAAGAAGGCUUUCGGGCUGUAAACCGCUUUCAGCAGGAACGAAAAUGACGGUACCUGCAGAAGAAGGAGCGGCCAACUAUGUGCCAGCAGCCGCGGUGAUACAUAGGCUUCAAGCGUUGUCCGGAUUUAUUGGGCGUAAAGAGUUCGUAGGCGGUCGAGUAAGUCGGGUGUGAAAAUUCUGGGCUCAACCCAGAGACGCCACCCGAUACUGCUUGACUUGAGUUCGAUAGGGGAGUGGGGAAUUCCUAGUGUAGCGGUGAAAUGCGCAGAUAUUAGGAGGAACACCGGUGGCGAAGGCGCCACUCUGGAUCGAUACUGACGCUGAGGAACGAAAGCAUGGGUAGCAAACAGGAUUAGAUACCCUGGUAGUCCAUGCCGUAAACGGUGGGCACUAGGUGUGGGUUUCUAUUAACGAAUUCCGCGCCGUCGCUAACGCAUAGUGCCCGCCGUCGGGUAGGUACGGUCGCGAGACGUAAACGUACAAUAGUAAGUUAGUACGGUUCGUUGUAGACGUUGCCGACGGCGACGACGAGGGAGGAGG
rnacentral:rRNA from 1 species